GACGAACGCUGGCGGCGUGCUUAACACAUGCAAGUCGAACGAAAAGAGGGAAAGAGCUUGCUCUUUCCGGAAUUGAUUGGCAAACGGGUGAGUAACACGUAAACAACCUGCCUUCAGGAUGGGGACAACAGACGGAAACGACUGCUAAUACCGAAUAAGUUCCAAGAGCCGCAUGGCCCAUGGAAGAAAAGGUGGCCUCUACCUGUAAGCUAUGGCUGGAAGAGGGGUUUGCGUCUGAUUAGCUGGUUGGAGGGGUAACGGACCACCAAGGCGACGAUCAGUAGCCGGUCUGAGAGGAUGAACGACCACACUGGAACUGAGACACGGUCCAGACUCCUACGGGAGGCAGCAGUGGGGAAUCUUCCGCAAUGGGCGAAAGCCUGACGGAGCAACGCCGCGUGAGUGAUGACGGCCUUCGGGUUGUAAAACUCUGUGAUCCGGGACGAAAAGGCAGAGUGCGAAGAACAAACUGCAUUGACGGUACCGGAAAAGCAAGCCACGGCUAACUACGUG
rnacentral:rRNA from 1 species